UGUAAACUACAGACACUGAGGUCAGUGUCUACACUGUAAACUACAGACACUGAGGUCAGUGUCUACACUGUAAACUACAGACACUGAGGCUGAACGGAUGUUCCCUGACAAAGAAAGGGUGUGAAGCAUUGGCUUCAGCUCUCAGCUCAAACUCCUCUCACCUGAGAGAGCUGGAUCUGAGUCACAAUGACCUGCAGGAUUCAGGAGUGAAGCUGCUCUCUGAUGGACUGGGGAAUCCACACUGUCAACUAGAGAAACUGAGGCUGUCAUUCUGCAGAGUCACAGAGGAAGGCUGUGUUUCUCUGGCUUCAGCUCUGAGGUCAAACCCCUCCCAUCUGAGAGAACUGGACCUGAGCUUCAAUCACCCAGGAGACUCUGGAUUGAAGCUGCUCUCUGCUAGACUGGAGGAUCCACACUCUAGACUGGAGAAACUCAAUGUGGAACAUACAGAAGAGAUCUGGGUUAAACCACAGCUGAUGAAGAAAUAUGCCUGUGAUCUCACACUGGACCCAAACACAGCACACAGAAACCUCUCUCUGUCUGAGGGGAACAGAAGGGUGGAGAGGGUUAAAGAGGAGCAGCCGUAUCCUGAUCACCCAGAGAGAUUUGAUCACUAUACCCAGGUGUUGUGUGGAGAGGGUCUGACUGGGUGCUGUUA